UACGAAGGGUGCAAGCGUUAAUCGGAAUUACUGGGCGUAAAGGGUGCGUAGGCGGUUAUUUAAGUCUGCCGUGAAAUCCCCGGGCUCAACCUGGGAAUGGCGGUGGAUACUGGAUAGCUAGAGUGUGUCAGAGGAUGGUGGAAUUCCCGGUGUAGCGGUGAAAUGCGUAGAGAUCGGAAGGAACAUCAGUGGCGAAGGCGGCCAUCUGGGACAACACUGACGCUGAAGCACGAAAGCGUGGGGAGCAAACAGG
rnacentral:rRNA from 1 species